AAGUUUAUAAUUUAAUUAAAAUGUGAGCCUUCAAAGCUUAAUAUAGAACAACCGUUUCUUGAACUUG
rnacentral:tRNA from 1 species